UAUUAAAAGUGCCUAUCUAACGGCAUUUCUUGGUUUAACAGAAUAUACUUUACAAAUAAAAGAAUAUUCUGUUAAAUUUAACCCCAAAAGCUUUUAACGCCGUUAACUUUAACUUUAACUUUAACGCCAUUCCGUUAACCAUUCUUCUCUUUCACGCUAUUUUCAAUUGGUCCCAAUUAGAAUUUUACUCUCAAUUCCAAUCGAGUUAAACUCAGAAUCUGGCGAUCGAUUAAACUCAGAAUUUUACCUUUUUUUUCUAUUUUUAUGCAUCUUUUUCUCACUACUGGCACUAUCAACCCACUAUUUUAUCGUCCUCCUCCAUAGGCGGCAACUUUAUUGAUUUCGGCACCAAUAACUUUCUUGGAAGGGUUUCGCGAGUCGAUCACCUUGCCUAUGGCUGAGAUUUCGACAACCGGUCAACCGGCGCCCACCGACCGGUUGUUAAAUGGAAGAAUCCCGGUUGAUUAUUUUGAAGGAUGGUUCUCUGAAGCUUCUAUAAACAGGCAGGAUAAUAUAUAUCAUAUAUAAUUGUAUAUGAAGAAUUUAGAUAAAUGGGUUUAUUUAAAAUUCCAUUAGGUAGAUAGUGAGGUUUUGAGAGCUUCCAUCUUGGGCAAUGGCACCUUUAGAUUUCACUCAUAAUGCGAUUCUUAACUAUCUUAAGCACAUAAGAAGAAACUGGCUUGAAGAACAUUCUGCCUCUGCCACCCAGUAACUAUCUUUCUCUACACAUUAUGCAUUUUAAAUUAACAUGUUUUGACAUAAUUUUAGAGUUUAUAAUUUAGAAAACAAUGAAUCUUGGCAUCCAUACAAUAUAUGUGUGUUUGUUUGUAUUUAUGUCAUGCAACAACUCUAUCGUUUCACUGUUUGCUUACCCUUUUUAUCUGGUAAGUGAUCUCAGUUCUAGCUUUUCCUCUCUCAUUCCAUUUGUUUGUUACUUUACUAGCUUCUUAUCUUGUGGCUUUGGUAUCAUUUAUAGUGGAGUCAAAGUCCUAGAAAGAGUGUUCUUAUUUUGAUUCAAACAGUGACUAAUUGCUUGUUGCAAGUGAAAGAAAAGAUAUUGCAACUUGGACAACCAUGGUUGCUCUGCUCGGUGUGCUUUCCUUUGUAAUGGGUCCUGUUCAAAUCAUUAAGCUAUUUAUAGGGCUGCUUUUUCUUUUCUUUAUGGUUAAUACAGUUGCUUUUACUUUGGAUGAAAAUUUCUCUUGUUUUUCAAUUCUGAUACCUUCCAAAUACAAAUUUGUCAUGUGGUUGGACUUGGUCACUUACUUGCAUUACUAUGUGGCCACGAGGACAAACUUCCAUGGUUAUUGAAAAUGAAUACACAUACAUAAAUAAUAUACAUUUUGUUUUAGUACUAAACUACCUCUCUGAUUAUCAAUGUGUUGCUUAGGUACUUAGGUUUAUUAAUUUUUUGUUUAAGCAAAAAACAGUUAUAUAUGUUGUAGGUGGUAUAUGAUUUCCAUUAGUAUAAUAUAAAUAGUCAAUCAAUAUGAAUAUAUAAAUUUUUACUACUGCUAAUUUUAUCUAAGUUCAAUCUAAACAAUAAAAAAUGUUGAGCAAUUCAAUCGAUUCUUUCAACUGAGGUUAAAAAAAAAAGGUAGAGUGAAAUGUAGCAGAGGAAAAGGGAUGGUGUUGGCCCAUUCAAUGGGUAAGAUGCCUUCUGGUAAUAUCUUAACUUUCACUUUGUUAUUUAGUAUUUAUAGGUAUUAUAUUGCUUUUUUUCUUUUUUGUUCUAAAAAUCUCAACUUAAUGCUCGAUUUGAGUUUGUUAGUGAAAAGGCUUAUUUCCUUAAUCUAAUUUCUUAACUUCUCUUAAUUUAGUUGACGAUUCACUCAAAUGGUUGUUUUUAUGUGUUUCUUAAUUUGUAUUGACUUUGAACUAAACAUAACAUCACUUACAAAUUGUAUCAUUUCUUAACUGUGAAUUAGGGAGUGACUACUUACUGAUUGUUUUUGAGUUAUUAUCAAUUGUCACUCUGUAGAUAGCCACUGGUUGAGAUUCCAUUAUAUCUUAGAUAUAGUUUUUAAUAUCUUUAUUGAAUUAGUGCUUCGUAAUCACUCCCACUUGUUGCGGAAAUGGGUCCAAGAGCUUUCUUAUUGAUGAAAAAGUAUAAUCUUAUUUUUCUUAUAAGCAUCUCAACGAUUAUACCAAGUUUUAUAAAAAGAAUUUAAAAUACAUACAUUUGAACUAUUUUUGGUUCUUAAUUUUCAUCUUUAUUUUUUAUUACUUAUCUUUAUUUUUGAUACUGGGUGAAAUUUUGUUAGUUUAGAUCUCCAUCUCUGUGUACUACUCUGUAUUCUUUGAUUAAGAAUGUGAAAGUACAUUUGAUUUAAUUCAUCUAUUAUUCUUUUGCUGAGAAAUUCAAUUAAUCUAUUAUUGCUUUUACUUUUAUUUUUUAUUGUUUGAAAAUUUAAGGUUUUAAUUUCAUUGUAGAAGUUAAAGAGAUGAUAAAACGAAGAAUAUGCAAAGAAUGAGGACCUUCAAAAGAUUAAACUGACAUCAUCACUGCUAUUUUUGGGACACUUGAUUAUUAUUUGGCUCUUGAGUAAAUUUUUAGUGGCAAGUGGUCCGAGAAGGCAAGUGUUUAUAGUUUUAGAAUUCUUGUCUUUUAAGUAGUAUGUGGAAGAAAGAACAAUUCUUCCAAUAAAAGUCCAAACCCCUGUUGUGCAGAUGGUAAGCUCUUUGUUUCAAACAUAGGUUAAAGACGGUCAUAAAUAAUGUGAUAAAGACCAUUAUGUAAAGGUUUGGAGCCAUUAUGGAAGCAGUACACUUGGUGAAUUAGUUGAUCCAAGCCUAGGA